rnacentral:rRNA from 1 species
UAGGGAAUCUUCCGCAAUGGACGCAAGUCUGACGGAGCAACGCCGCGUGAGUGAAGAAGGUUUUCGGAUCGUAAAGCUCUGUUGUUAAGGAAGAACGAGUGUGAGAAUGGAAAGUUCAUACUGUGACGGUACUUAACCAGAAAGGGACGGCUAACUACGUGCCAGCAGCCGCGGUAAUACGUAGGUCCCGAGCGUUGUCCGGAUUUAUUGGGCGUAAAGCGAGCGCAGGCGGUUAGAUAAGUCUGAAGUUAAAGGCAGUGGCUCAACCGGGGAGGGUCAUUGGAAACUGGUUGACUUGAGUGCAGAAGAGGAGAGUGGAAUUCCAUGUGUAGCGGUGAAAUGCGUAGAUAUAUGGAGGAACACCAGUGGCGAAGGCGACUCUCUGGUCUGUAACUGACGCUGAGGUUCGAAAGCGUGGGUAGCAAACAGG